rnacentral:rRNA from 1 species
UACGUAGGGUGCGAGCGUUGUCCGGAAUUAUUGGGCGUAAAGAGCUCGUAGGCGGCUUGUCGCGUCGGAUGUGAAAGCCCGGGGCUUAACUCCGGGUCUGCAUUCGAUACGGGCAGGCUAGAGUUCGGUAGGGGAGAUCGGAAUUCCUGGUAUAGCGGUGAAAUGCGCAGAUAUCAGGAAGAACACCCGUGGCGAAGGCGGCUCUCUGGGACGGUACUGACGCUGAGACGCGAAAGCGUGGGGAGCGAACAGG